rnacentral:sRNA from 1 species
UUAAAAGAAUAUUGGCAGAAAAACAGCCCUAGAGUUCCAGCAGGAGCAAACAGGAACAGGAAAACAAAUGACAGUAUCCCUGAGACAGCCACUUCUGGUGGUUGCCAGUCACCUGCGGAUUCAGCAACAGGUUUCCACAGGGAAGGCCCUACAUCAUCUGCUACCCUGAAAGAUCUGGAGGUAAGAGGCUCUGGGCGAAGGUGCAGUGACCCUUCGGGUCAACCCCCCAACCUCCUCCUUCAGGUGGGACUGGGUGCCCCUCUGCCAGCUGAGACAGCCCACACACUCCAGCCCUAAUGAUUGUUCUCUCUACCUCUCCCCCCACUCCUGCUCCACCUCCUCCUCUCGGCAUGCGCCUCA